rnacentral:rRNA from 1 species
GGCUCAGGAUGAACGCUAGCGGCAGGCUUAACACAUGCAAGUCGAGGGGCAGCGCGAGUAGCAAUACUUGGCGGCGACCGGCGCAAGGGUGCGUAACGCGUGAGCAACAUGCCCGUAUCAGGGGGAUAAUCCAGGGAAACUUGGUCUAAUACCCAUAGUAAUUUUGUAAGGCAUCUUAUAAGAUUUAAAGCUUUGGUGGAUACGGAUUGGCUCGCGUGACAUUAGCUGGAUGGUAAGGUAACGGCUUACCAUGGCUAUGAUGUCUAGGGGUUCUGAGAGGAAGGUCCCCCACACUGGAACUGAGACACGGUCCAGACUCCUACGGGAGGCAGCAGUGAGGAAUAUUGGACAAUGGAUGGAAAUCUGAUCCAGCCAUGCCGCGUGAAGGAAGAAGGUUCCCUAUGGAUUGUAAACUGCUUUUGUAUCGGGAGCAAUAAGGGCUACGCGUAGUCCGAUGAGAGUACCAUACGAAUAAGCACCGGCUAACUCCGUGCCAGCAGCAGC